GCACUCAAAGAGACAACACCGCUCAGUCGCUCCUGAUCAGUCGCUCCCUCCAUCAGGUUCGCUCUCUACGCCAUGAAGCCAGAGCCAGCUAGCGUCUCCGUCGCCCUCUCCAUGGGUUAGCCUCUCUUUUGUUUCGCUUGAAGGAAUCGAUCGCAAUUCGCACUCAAAGAGACAACACCGCUCUGUCGCUCCCUCCAUCAGGUUUGCUCUUUACGCCACGAAGCCAGAGCCAACUAGCUUCUCCAUCCCCCUCUCCAUGGGUUAGCCUCUCUAUCGUUUCACUCAAGGGAAUUGAUCACGAACAGGAGGGAUUCCUCCAUAAAUCGACUGAGUCGUGGACUCCAAAGCACUCGAUCUCUUCCUAUACAGGCUCGCGCUCGGUCACUCGGUGGAGAGAGUGGCGGAAACUGCGAUCAACCCUUGUGAUAACCAGAUGCCUGGUAGUGAUAGAGUUAUUGACAUCGGAGGUCCAUCCUUCUCCAACGAACAAACAAGAGCAAGGAAUGUUCAAGUUUCAAUAAGCCAAUCUUCAAUUGAUGUCUCGGAAUCUCCAUGCACUCAACAAUCUGGAAUCGGUGGUGGAUUGUGAAAUUGUGGACCAAGAAAUGCUAGUGGAUGUUCAGUGCCUGCUGUUAGAUGAGGAGAUUUUGUUGCAGACAGAAAAGUGCUAGUUUUUAUGUUUUUUGUAAGUAGAUAUGGCUAUGUACUGUCUGGUGUGAGGAUAUGGUAAUGUAACUUUCUAUAUGGGAUGGUUUGGUUAUGUACGAUGCAUUGAGUUGUGCUUGUUAUGUUGGCAUGUCUCUCUUUUCCAGCACACAAUGUGGAUCGGUUUAAGUUAAUCUAAUGCUAUUUAGCAGAUUUUUGCC